GCUGGCGGCGUGCUAACACAUGCAAGUCGAACGAGAAAGUGGAGCAAUCCAUGAGUAAAGUGGCGACCGGGUGAGUAACACGUGACUAACCUACCUCCGAGUGGGGAAUAACUCCGGGAAACCGGGGCUAAUACCGCAUAACAUCGCAAGAUCAAAGCAGCAAUGCGCUUGGAGAGGGGGUCGCGGCUGAUUAGCUCGUUGGCGGGGUAACGGCCCACCAAGGCGAAGAUCGGUAUCCGGCCUGAGAGGGCGCACGGACACACUGGAACUGAAACACGGUCCAGACUCCUACGGGAGGCAGCAGUGGGGAAUUUUGCGCAAUGGGGGAAACCCUGACGCAGCAACGCCGCGUGGAGGAUGAAGCCCUUUGGGGCGUAAACUCCUUUCGACUCGGACGAUAAUGACGGUACGAGUGGAAGAAGCACCGGCUAACUCUGUGCCAGCAGCCGCGGUAAUACAGAGGGUGCGAGCGU
rnacentral:rRNA from 1 species